UACGAAGGGGGCUAGCGUUGUUCGGAAUCACUGGGCGUAAAGCGCACGUAGGCGGAUCUUUAAGUCAGGGGUGAAAUCCCGAGGCUCAACCUCGGAACUGCCUUUGAUACUGGGGAUCUCGAGUCCGGGAGAGGUGAGUGGAACUGCGAGUGUAGAGGUGAAAUUUGUAGAUAUUCGCAAGAACACCAGUGGCGAAGGCGGCUCACUGGCCCGGAACUGACGCUGAGGUGCGAAAGCGUGGGGAGCAAACAGG
rnacentral:rRNA from 1 species